GCGCCGGUAGCUCAGCUAGGCAGAGCAGCUCGCUCUUAACGAGACGGUCGGGGGUUCGAUUCCCUCCCGGCGUA
rnacentral:tRNA from 2 species